CCAUUAUCGUUCUACAGAAACGGCUUGAUAACAAUUUAAUAAUUUAUUUAGUACAACUAUACUACUAUACAGAGCGUUAUAGUGACGUUAUUUUGGGAAAGUUGUAUUAAUGUCUAUAUUUAAACCGGGAGAUUAUUUAACCCGCGCGACCGAUUGAAAGUUUAUAAAUAAAUAGUUGAAUGAUUUCUUUGCCUUUGGUUUAAUUUUUCUUUGGUUUUCAUUUCUCUUGGUUUUCUUUUUUGCGGGUUUUUUUUCAGUAUGGGUACCAUGAUUCAUUAAUUGUAACCUUACUAAAAUUGGUUUACAAUCAAUUCGUGACUCUCAAUGAAUUUGUGGUUACAUGGCGAUAAAACAAUCAGUUUUAUAACUAUUUUGAAUUAUCACUUCAUAAUAUAUAUA